GUGGGUUUAGUGAAAUUGGUAUCACAUUAGACUUCUCAUACUGAUAUUGCAAGUUCGAUUCUUGUAACCUACA
rnacentral:tRNA from 2 species